CAGUCGCCGCGGUAAUACAGAGGGUGCAAGCGUUAAUCGGAAUUACUGGGCGUAAAGCGCGCGUAGGUGGUUUGUUAAGUUGGAUGUGAAAUCCCCGGGCUCAACCUGGGAACUGCAUCCAAAACUGGCAAGCUAGAGUAUGGUAGAGGGUGGUGGAAUUUCCUGUGUAGCGGUGAAAUGCGUAGAUAUAGGAAGGAACACCAGUGGCGAAGGCGACCACCUGGACUGAUACUGACACUGAUGUGCGAAAGCGUGGGGAGCAAACAGGAUUAGAGACCCGAGUAGUCCCUGUCUCUUAUAC
rnacentral:rRNA from 1 species